UACGGAGGAUGCAAGCGUUAUCCGGAAUGAUUGGGCGUAAAGCGUCCGCAGGUGGCUAUGUAAGUCUGCUGUUAAAGAGUGAGGCUCAACCUCAUAAAAGCAGUGGAAACUACAUGGCUAGAGUGCGUUCGGGGCAGAGGGAAUUCCUGGUGUAGCGGUGAAAUGCGUAGAUAUCAGGAAGAACACCGGUGGCGAAAGCGCUCUGCUAGGCCGCAACUGACGCUGAGGAGCGAAAGCAUGGGGAGCGAACAGG
rnacentral:rRNA from 1 species